AGUGAACGCUGGCGGUAGGCCUAACACAUGCAAGUCGAACGGCAGCACAGUAAGAGCUUGCUCUUACGGGUGGCGAGUGGCGGACGGGUGAGGAAUACAUCGGAAUCUACUUUUUCGUGGGGGAUAACGUAGGGAAACUUACGCUAAUACCGCAUACGACCUACGGGUGAAAGCAGGGGAUCUUCGGACCUUGCGCGAUUGAAUGAGCCGAUGUCGGAUUAGCUAGUUGGCGGGGUAAAGGCCCACCAAGGCGACGCUCCGUAGCUGGUCUGAGAGGAUGAUCAGCCACACUGGAACUGAGACACGGUCCAGACUCCUACGGGAGGCAGCAGUGGGGAAUAUUGGACAAUGGGCGCAAGCCUGAUGCAGCCAUACCGCGUGGGUGAAGAAGGCCUUCGGGUUGUAAAGCCCUUUUGUUGGGAAAGAAAAGCAGCAGGUUAAUACCCCGCUGUUCUGACGGUACCCAAAGAAUAAGCACCGGCUAACUUCGUG
rnacentral:rRNA from 1 species